UGGCAAUAAAGGGAAAACUACGAGCGCGAAGCUUCUGCACAUAGGUUACCACGCGAAGUAGUUCGCCAGCCCUCAAAAGCGCUUUUGGCUGCUCGGAACAGACGCUGAAUCGACGCAGCUUCCACGUGCUACGGUUUCGUGUUUGCCCAGACGCGGAAAACAAAAGCUGCAAACUAACUUACACCAACGUGGAUGAAAACACGGGGCUCUCUUCAGAAGCGCUCUCACUUGUGCGCGCUUUGCCUCCGUAGGUUUCCCUUUAUAGCCACAGGAAGUUGUCAGCGAGUAUAGUUGUGAACGUGUGAGAAAUACGUGCAAAGAUACGCAUCAACGACUGUGAAGAAUGAAGUUUUUUAGGUUCAACUUCUUGGUCGUUUUUAUCACAACUUCUCUCAUUUUUUUGAUGAUGCAAGGGGACGACCGAUCGUCUGCUGUAGCUGUCCAACAUUACGUAAAAAUCGAAGAAAGAAUGCCGGCAACACAGCGUCCAUCGGUAAUAGUUACAACACGUGGAAAACGAGGAAGACGGGAUGACCGGAAAAAUAGGCCGAAGAAUAAGAAGCAAUGCAGUUGAACAAUGUGAAGACAAGAAGCCUGGGUGUCUCAAGAGUAUCGCCAAUGCCACAUCGUGACUGCGUCUGCUGGAACGAAUGUGGGAAAUAAAUAUUUACCAUUUUUCAUGAAAA